rnacentral:rRNA from 1 species
GAUGAACGCUGGCGGCGUGCCUAAUACAUGCAAGUCGAGCGAACGGACGAGAAGCUUGCUUCUCUGAUGUUAGCGGCGGACGGGUGAGUAACACGUGGAUAACCUACCUAUAAGACUGGGAUAACUUCGUGAAACCGUAGCUAAUACCGGAUAAUAUUUUGAACCGCAUGGUUCAAAAGUGAAAGACGGUCUUGCUGUCACUUAUAGAUGGAUCCGCGCUGCAUUAGCUAGUUGGUAAGGUAACGGCUUACCAAGGCAACGAUGCAUAGCCGACCUGAGAGGGUGAUCGGCCACACUGGAACUGAGACACGGUCCAGACUCCUACGGGAGGCAGCAGUAGGGAAUAUUCCGCAAUGGGCGAAAGCCUGACGGAGCAACGCCGCGUGAGUGAUGAAGGUCUUCGGAUCGUAAAACUCUGUUAUUAGGGAAGAACAUAUGUGUAAGUAACUGUGCACAUCUUGACGGUACCUAAUCAGAAAGCCACGGCUAACUACGUG